GACGAACGCUGGCGGCGUGCCUAAUACAUGCAAGUUGAGCGCUGAAGGUUGGUACUUGUACCAACUGGAUGAGCAGCGAACGGGUGAGUAACGCGUGGGGAAUCUGCCUUUGAGCGGGGGACAACAUUUGGAAACGAAUGCUAAUACCGCAUAAAAACUUUAAACACAAGUUUUAAGUUUGAAAGAUGCAAUUGCAUCACUCAAAGAUGAUCCCGCGUUGUAUUAGCUAGUUGGUGAGGUAAAGGCUCACCAGGGCGAUGAUACAUAGCCGACCUGAGAGGGUGAUCGGCCACAUUGGGACUGAGACACGGCCCAAACUCCUACGGGAGGCAGCAGUAGGGAAUCUUCGGCAAUAGACGAAAGUCUGACCGAGCAACGCCGCGUGAGUGAAGAAGGGUUUCGGAUCGUAAAACUCUGUUGGUAGAGAAGAACGUUGGUGAGAGUGGAAAGCUCAUCAAGUGACGGUAACUACCCAGAAAGGGACGGCUAACUACGUG
rnacentral:rRNA from 1 species